GUGGGGAAUUUUGGACAAUGGGCGAAAGCCUGAUCCAGCAAUGCCGCGUGCAGGAUGAAGGCCUUCGGGUUGUAAACUGCUUUUGUACGGAACGAAAAAGCUCCUUCUAAUACAGGGGGCCCAUGACGGUACCGUAAGAAUAAGCACCGGCUAACUACGUGCCAGCAGCCGCGGUAAUACGUAGGGUGCGAGCGUUAAUCGGAAUUACUGGGCGUAAAGCGUGCGCAGGCGGUUAUGUAAGACAGAUGUGAAAUCCCCGGGCUCAACCUGGGAACUGCAUUUGUGACUGCAUGGCUAGAGUACGGUAGAGGGGGAUGGAAUUCCGCGUGUAGCAGUGAAAUGCGUAGAUAUGCGGAGGAACACCGAUGGCGAAGGCAAUCCCCUGGACCUGUACUGACGCUCAUGCACGAAAGCGUGGGGAGCAAACAGGAUUAGAAACCCGAGUAGUCC
rnacentral:rRNA from 1 species